AUUGAACGCUGGCGGCAGGCCUAACACAUGCAAGUCGAGCGAGCGGCGGACGGGUGAGUAAUGUAUGGGGACUGCCCGAUAGAGGGGGAUAACUACUGGAAACGGUAGCUAAUCCCGCAUACUAUCGGAUAACCCAUAUGGGAGGAGCUCGUUGGUGAGGUAAUGGCUUACCAAGGCGACGAUCCCUAGCUGGUCUGAGAGGAUGAUCAGCCAAACUGGGACUGAGACACGGACCAGACGCCUACGGAGGCAGCAGUGGGGAAGAUGGCACAAUGGGCGCAAGCCUGAUGAAGCCAUGCCGCGUGUAUGAAGAAGGCCCUAGGGUUGUAAAGUACUUUCAGUCGGGAGGCGUUACCGACAGAAGAAGCACCGGCUAACUACGUGCCAGCAGCCGCGGUAAUAC
rnacentral:rRNA from 1 species